GUUCUUUAUUACACCACCAGUUCCUUCCACCGCUUUCAUUUUCGUUCCUCCUGCGCCACCGCCACCGCCACCGGUCAGUUCUUCCCCCUUUUUUUUUUGUUAUUUGGUACCCUCGAUAUUGGGUUUGGGAAUCUGUUUAGUCGGUGGAAUGUGCAAUGUGUUUCUUCUCUUUCAUUUCCACGUGUUCCACUUCAUCAUUUCUCUGUGUUUUUAGAUGUCGGUUUCUUGAAUUUCUCACAAUCGCUUUCUUCUUUCAUUCCCAUGUAUUCUUCUACCCCUGUUUCUUCUGCGUUUAUCUGUUUAUGUCUUCAUCUUAUUUCGUUUGCCAUUCUUCAGGUGGAGUUUGAAAGAUUGCACGCCAAGUGUUCGACGAAAGUACUUAAACAACCACCCACCCAUAUGGAUGCCACCACCCGGAAGAGUUGGUGGUGUCGUCUAUCAUCUAUUACUAGGUAUAUUUUUAUUAUGUUAGGGUCUUUUUCUUAAAUACAGUCAUGAAGUCAAGAUGUUUGAUCCAUAUUUUCUUAGAAUAACAUUGACAUCUUGAUUGCAUCCUACAUUUCAGAUUUCAAGUGAGAUUAUAGCUUAAACUGAUGCUAAUAUUCAUCUGAUUUCUGUGAAUCUCACCCAUCUUACUCACUCAGACCCUCCUUUUCAUAUUUGCUAUAAUUAAUUUUCCAUGAUUACAAAUGUUUAAUCUCACUCAACCUCUACUUUGUAAUAGCUUAAAGUAGUAUGUUUUUAAAUUUGUUCAACAAAUGUGGAUUGUUUAAAUUAACCAUGUUUGUUUUUCCAUUCUAAAUGUCAUUUAGGGCUUGGAUUACAUUCGGUUUUCCCCUUUUGGUACACAUAAUUUCCGAUUACCUAUGUGUAUAUAUUUUUUUUUGGCCAUCAUAUGUAUAUAUCCUAAAAAAUAAUUGAAUUAACAGAUAGAAUGGCGAUUGUGCAUCUCAUAAAGCUAUCUUUUUUUAUAGAUGUUAGGAAUUUGCUUGCUUCAAGCAUGGACGGUAUGACUUAUUAACUUUAUUAAUCCAUCCUUCAUUUUCAUUCAAUGAUUCAUGAAAAAAAUAAAAGCUAUGGUUUCAGAAGAAGAAGACAACACAAAUCCUGUUCCCGAAAGGAUAUUCUUUUUUUCUCUUUCUUGGAGAUUAACUUUCCCCUUUUCAUGUGGGUACAAGUGGGAAAUUCUCAUGUAUAUAAGGUCCAGAGGAAGUUGAGUAAGGGUGGUUUUGGGCAGGUCUAUGUUGACAGGGGAGUAAGUUCUGGAACACAAGCAUGUUUUUGAAAAAAAAAACUGGAAUCUCUUGAAUGAGCAACAUAAACACAAUCAUGUUUUUUAAAAAGCUUUUAUAUAUUACUGUUAUUAUUAUAUAUAAUGUAAUUAUACAUUUUUUUAAUGGUGUGACAUGUGGGAUUUCAUCUGAAAUUUGAUUCCUUAAUCUCUCUUAAAAAAGGCGUUCUUAGUAUAAAUACUUUUGUGUGUUUUGAUGAAGAAAAAUGUUUGUGAUGAGUAGGGCCAUAUGCUAUGCUUACAUGGAAUCUCAAAUCAAAUCGUAAGCUGGACACAAUGCAACUGUUGCACAACAUCAGUGGUUCGUCUGUCAAAAUUUAUAUUACCAAUGUAUUUAUAAGUGUAUGUAACAAGGGUAAAAAUGUCUUUUUCUACACUUACAGUUUUUUUCUUAGCUUUGUGUGUGCAAAGAAUAGUCAAACAAAGAAAAAUAUUUCAAAACUUCAGUUUUGGAAUGAACGCCCACAGUCUCUAUCUCAAUAUUUUCCAAAAUAUGAAGAAAAUGUACAAUCUUUCAAUUCCAAAAUCAAGUGACUUUACUUUUACUUUAACUUUUGGAUUCAAUAUUAGUUUCAAUACUCGCUUUUUAUAUGAACUUCAGUUCAUAAGUUUCCUAAAUUUAUCAUUUCUAUUUGUUUCAUUUGUUAUAUAGUUUAUUUGACUACAAAUAUCUCAAAUUCAGUUUUAAUUUUACUUACUGUUUAUUUAUUUUGUUUUUAUACUUGGCAUGCUUUCCUACAUCAUGGAUAUUCUUGAAACGAUUGAGGCAAUUCAGGAUUGAUUGUUAUGAGUAGCUAGCUUCCCACCUUUAUCAAAAAGGUUUCAAAUAUGUGACCAAUGAUGAUGGGGGUGAUGGGCUGCACAAUGACAUCUUCAAUUUGAUAUAAGUAAAGUUAAACCAAUAGAUGUUCUCCCAAUUCUACCCUCUGUCCAUUUGUUUACGUCUUUCUAUUUCUAACCAAACAACAUGAUCACAUAUUGUAAAGUUUUGAUAUAAGCAUUUUGUUUUUGUGAUUAAAGAUGUAUACUUAAAUUCUGAAUAUGUGUUUUUGUUUAUAUGUGUAGCUUUAAGAAUCCAA